UGUCUCUACUGCAGAAGCGCACACAAGCACUCUCAGGGUCCCGGUCCACCCAGCCGCCUGCCCCUUUGCCGGCCUUGCCGUUCUUUUCCCCUUGUUUUGUGUUUGGAGUCCAAAUGUGGAGAUCAUCUCCCCUUAGACGAUCCAGGGCGGGGCGCCAGGAACCCUGAGGAGCAUUCGGCUGCUGUCAUCUUGUCGCCAGUUCGGUCGCCAAAUGGCAGAGGAGAAUAAGCAUCCAAGGAGGACGUCCAUCACAGCACAAAAAAGAGAAUAAGCAUUACCAGUAAGAUUCCAAAGAGAAUGAUGAUUGCACACCACUGACGACGGUCUGGAAGGAAUCCUGGAUUUGGAAGACUUAAGCUAUCUCCAGCUGACUGCUGAGGGAAUUUUAGCCUUGUAAGGAAAAGUCAGUUUUCAUUAUCCCAUAUGGAGCAGCACACAUCAUGACCUCGAUCGGCCUGGCUGGUGCCUGACAUUGGUACAACAAUCAAGCUGGUAGCCAAGCUGGGGAGUCUGUAGCUUUCUGGAUUAUGGGCGGACAUCCACAGGCAGGCCUCAAGUACAAGCAAAAGUCCCCUCUCCUACCUGAGGGAAAAAUGGGUACUUUCUGAAGAACUCUUCAAUUAGAGGAUGGAUACUUCAAACACACAAAAGUAGAUUGGCUCUCCUUUCCUUGUACCUACCGCUGGUCAUGUGAGAUACUUUCGCAAGUUUCUUCAUCACGUUGUCAAGCCGAGACUGAGUACUGUCCAACUCGUGAGAGAAGUCAUCUAACAUCCUGGAAAAACAGGCAGACAGCUAAACUAACAGCUCCCCACCGAUGCGCUGUGACAUGUUCUUCAGCACCCCAAUGCUGCCAGAGACCAGCUCCAACUGCUCAUCCUGCUGCUCCACAAUCAACUGGUGCCAAAGCAAAGGGAAACAAGCAAUUAAAACCCCUUCUACCUGGGCCGGAGCCCAGCACUCCAGCAGCUAAUGGCUCAUCUGCCAACUCCCAUCUUCGGAGUUCGAAAGCAAAAUCCAGAAGCAAAGAGUAGAGCCUGGACAUGUUUCUCCUAGAAAGGCACUGCUCCAAAAACUGCCUUCACUAGGAACUGGAGCCCACAGAUCCCUUGUUCAUACCAGCUGGCAUACCUACCCCCACUGCUAACCAGAGACUGGUACAGCUACAGGAGAAGUUAAAGCCUGCACAGAUGAACUUGACAUCUGAUCCUUCAUUUCCUGUUGAUUGAGAGGAAGAACAAGGGGAGGAAAACAUUUUAUAUAAAACAUAUGAAUGUCAUUUAACAUAAUAUAUAAAAGCAAAAGCACUGACAACUAAUUCUGUGACAGCUCUUUAAAUUCAACAGUGAAAUUUGGUGCAGAGCUUUAAGCAGAUAUGUGCUAAAACCAUGCUGUUGUCUACCACUAAAGAUUCUUGCUGUUUUACUGUGAUGUCUGCUUUACACAAUCUGCUGUCUAAGAUGUUUCCCAAGACUUAAUUUCUUAGCUCUGAAAAGUAGUGGUUAUGACAUAUGACAGUGUGAAAAAGGGUGUCAUUCAAAAAAUCUGAAAGUUUACUGUUGGAGAUUUGAUUAUAAUUCAGUGCUUUAUGGCCACCUAAAAUGAAAAAAUAGACAUGGAAAUGCCUUCCUUUUCAAUAAAGAUAUUAAAGCAUUUUA